UACGUAGGGUACGAGCGUUGUCCGGAAUUAUUGGGCGUAAAGAGCUCGUAGGUGGUUGGUCACGUCUGCUGUGGAAACGCAACGCUUAACGUUGCGCGGGCAGUGGGUACGGGCCGGCUGGAGUGCAGUAGGGGAGUCUGGAAUUCCUGGUGUAGCGGUGAAAUGCGCAGAUAUCAGGAGGAACACCGGUGGCGAAGGCGGGACUCUGGGCUGUUACUGACGCUGAGGAGCGAAAGCAUGGGGAGCGAACAGG
rnacentral:rRNA from 1 species